CGCGAGUUUUAUGACUUAAAAAAGCCCACAGGCUGGUCUGAAGAGGAAGACAAACAUAAAGAUGAAGUGCUUAAUUCAAGGUCACACAAUGUCGGGGAUGGACCUCCAGAUUUCCUUACUGACCUGCAUUAUCUUGUGGAUACCUGAGUGAAUUCCACACCACCCAUUUUAUAGAUGAAACCACUGAGACAUGGAGCAAUUGACUGAGUAGUCACUGCCCCACCCCUGCCUGGAGCCUCACACAUGACUCGCCUCCUCUCAGUGACCACAGGUUGGUUGAGGGGUUUAACAAGGCUAAGAAGGUGAGACGUGGUCUUGUAACACAGUGGUUAAGAAUGUGACUUUGGAGCCAGCCUGCUAGGGGCUGAAUUCUGACUCAGCCAUUUACUAACUGUGUGACCUUAGGGAGGAGGACCUGGUUGAUAGAAGAAUUUAUCUCGUAGUCUUAACAUCCACUGUAAUUCCAAACUUUGAGGACGAUAGAGAUCAGUGGGCUUUGACUGCCCAGCAUGCAGUCUCCAUUCUUAGGUGGGUUCCCAAGCCUGUAAAAUGUAAGCCUUAUGCUGCUGAGGGCCAUCUUGCCACCCUGAGGGAAACGCUGCCUGAGAAUGAAACAAGCAUAAGUAAAAGCUGAGCUGUGAGAUGGAGCAAGAUGAAGGCCACAUGACAUCUUUGGAGCACCUGGAUCUAACUGUGCCUUAAGCUAGUCUAACCCUGAACAUUUCAUCAUUUCAUUGACAUGAGCCCAGGUUUUCUUUUUUUUUGGAUGGAGUCUUGCUCUGUCGCCCAGGCUGGAGUGCAGUAGCUCAAUCUCGGCUCACUGCAAGCUCCACCUCCCGGGUUCACGCCAUUCUCCUGCCUUAGCCUCCCAAGUAGCUGGGACAACAGGCGCC
rnacentral:lncRNA from 1 species